UAAGGAAUAUUGGUCAAUGGGCGGAAGCCUGAACCAGCCAUGCCGCGUGCAGGAAGACGGCCCUACGGGUUGUAAACUGCUUUUGCAGGGGAAUAAACCCCCGUAUGUAUACGGGGCUGAAUGUACUCUGAGAAUAAGGAUCGGCUAACUCCGUGCCAGCAGCCGCGGUAAUACGGAGGAUCCAAGCGUUAUCCGGAUUUAUUGGGUUUAAAGGGUGCGUAGGUGGCUUUUUAAGUCAGGGGUGAAAGACGGCAGCUUAACUGUCGCAGUGCCUUUGAUACUGAAGAGCUUGAAUAAACUGGAGGUAAGCGGAAUGUGACAAGUAGCGGUGAAAUGCAUAGAUAUGUCACAGAACACCAAUUGCGAAGGCAGCUUACUACGGUUUGAUUGACACUGAGGCACGAAAGCGUGGGGAUCAAACAGGAUUAGAUACCCCGGUAGUCC
rnacentral:rRNA from 1 species